rnacentral:rRNA from 1 species
CAGUCGAACGAGAGACCUUCGGGUCUCUAGUGGCGAACGGGUGAGUAACACCUAGGGAACCUGCCCGCGCACCGGGAAUACGCUCUGGAAACGGAGAACAAAUCCCGAUGUACAGGAAGGAGGCAUCUUCUUUCUGUGAAACAUCCUUUAGGGGAUGGGGCGCGGAUGGACCUGCGGUGCAUUAGUUGGUUGGCGGGGUAAAGGCCCACCAAGACGAUGAUACAUAGCCGGCCUGAGAGGGCGGACGGCCACAUUGGGACUGAGACACGGCCCAGACUCCUGCGGGAGGUAGCAGUAGGGAAUUUUCGUCAAUGGGCGCAAGCCUGAACGAGCGAUGCCGCGUGAGUGAAGAAGGCCUUCGGGUCGUAAAGCUCUGUUGCGGGGGAAAAAAGGCAGCAUCAGGAAAUGGGUGCUGACUGAUGGUGCCCCGCCAGAAAGUCACGGCUAGCUACGUGCCAGCAGCCGCGGUAAUACGUAGGUGGCGAGCGUUAUUCGGAAUGAUUGGGCGUAAAGGGUGCGCAGGCGGUCCUGCAAGUCUGGAGUGAAACGCAUGAGCUCAACUCAUGCAUGGCUUUGGAAACUGGAGGACUGGAGAGCAGGAGAGGGCGGUGGAACUCCAUGUGUAGCGGUAAAAUGCGUAGAUAUAUGGAAGAACACCAGUGGCGAAGGCGGCCGCCUGGCCUGUUGCUGACGCUGAGGCACGAAAGCGUGGGGAGCAAAUAGGAUUAGAUACCCUAGUAGUCCACGCCGUAAACGAUG